rnacentral:pre_miRNA from 1 species
CAUAUACUCCCUCCGUCCAGAAUUACUUGUCGUAAAAAUGGAUAGAAAUGAAUGUAUGUAGAACUAAAAUGCAUCUAGAUACAUCCGUUCCUCCGACAAGUAUUUCUAGAUGGAGGGAGUAUAUA